ACAUCUAAGUUGCCCGCAAGCUGUUGAGCAUCUUCAAUCCUCCAGUUAGUAAUUUUAUCCACCAUACCUUCCAUGACAUUGGGUGUAAAAGAGUAUUGGAGAGCAGGAACAGUAGCAAUUUUUUCUAGAAUGUCUUCAAAGUGAUAGCCUUGAUGUCUCCAUAUCACCUCCAAAUGCUCCAUCAAGUAAAUCCCAUUUCGACAUUUCAUCCCGGACUCCUUUAACACGCCAGUUUGGGGAGGUCUGAGUACAAUGGCGGACAACAUCGGUACAACGAGUAGAAUUCUUCAAGAAUAUGGCAACAUCAAUAGCACAAAAGCGCCAUGAAGUAGAAGUGGCGCCUAGUAUACAAGCAUAUGACCAAUUGGUGUCACAGGACAUAUGUGAUACCGUUUACACGACAAGGAAUACAAAUUUUGCUGAUGUUCACAACCUGGACAAGUGUAUCAACCACCUCAACCACUCCUUGGCCACCCUUGGCUUUUCAGCAGGUCUUGAUCUUCUCUCCACGGAACGUGUGACCUCGACACGAUUUGAUGAUGUUGCCGUCGGAGAUGGCGGAGCUUCAAGUCAAGGUGGAAUCACUGACUGAGCAAUUGACCAACAAGGAUCGCGGAUUGCAUGCAAUUAAAAUCAAGGUGUUGGAACAUAUGAAGACGGUAGAGUUGAAAGUCACUUAGGACAAAUCUAAAGCUAAGGCCUCCGACAUGACGGUGAGGUCGAAGAGAAGGUCAAGCUGGAAUCCAGAAUGUGACAAUGGCAGAAGUCGAAGCCUAAAACAUCGAAGAUUCUUCCUCCUCGAAGUCCCAUGCGUUCCAAGAGCCCUACACAUGAUCGAUUGUGCCCAUUUUCUGUGAAACAAGUCCUACGUGCAGAUUCCACAUUUCUUACAAUCCUAGAUCCUAGUGCAAUAUUGGUGACUUAUUCAUUGUGUCUCUUUUCAACAGGAUCUAUUCGUGUUCCUGAGAAAAAUAUCUUUCUUCAUCCUACAUUCAAUAUGACAAUCCUAUUUUCCAAGAAGAACCCUCUAUUUCAACUUCUGAUUCAACCCAUUUCUUGGCUACCGGACUUGAUUCUGAGUCAGUAACACCAUUUCAACAAUUCUAGCAGAAGAAUCCUGAUUUACAGAUGAAGCUUGUAAAGCAGGACCUUACUAUCCUCAACAGAGCAACCAGGUUCAUGCAUUUUGGUGCAUAUUUGUGGUUGAGAAGGGCUGCUCUUGGAUAAGAAAUUUUAGUUUUUUCAUCCAUUAUGCUAGAUUACAUGCUAAUCUUGUGGCUCUUGGUGAAUGUCCAGGGAGGAGCUCUUGCAACUCAAGGGAAUUGGACCUAAGCGUGCAGCAGAUAUUCUAGAGCUGCGAGAAAAUUGCGAGGAACCAUUUAAGUUGCAAGAUCUCGAGAAUAUUGGGCUCAGUGAUAGACAGCUUUUGCAAAACAACAAGAGCCUAGAGAUGGAAGUUUCGGCCUGCGCUCGGCUUUUCCUCAACCAAUAGAAAUUUGGUGAGCAUGGCAGACCAAUACUGUCAAGUAAUCAAUGUGGGAGUUGAUGACAUUGAAACAUGUUUGGAGAUAGCUGCUGCAGAUUCGGAAUGGUCUUGGGUUACCCUGCCACCAAUCACGUCUCCUGUCCAUAGUGGAAUUUAUGGCAACCAUGAUAAGGCCACCAAUUGCCCUGUCAUUGUCAUCAAGACCAAGUGCAUCACAGAGCCAUCUCUCAAGACUCAUAACUGGUUCAUUUUUAAUGAUCACGAGGUGUUCAAAGAUUACUUGGAAUGGGGAGUUGACAAAUUUGAAUAUGGUACUCUUUGUAAACGUAUGAUGUGAAGUGAAGGAAAGGAUGGCUCCUUCAAUGGACAUUGCUAAAGUAGAGAAGCAUGGGACAUGGGGCACAGGAUAUGGGGCACGGGACAUGGGGCGCGAGACAUGGGGCGCGAGACAUGGGACACAAUUUGAUACAAACAGGCAAGGUAGAUUGUAGAUGACACUGACCAAGUUGUAUAUAUUUUUUGACCUCCCAUUUUUCCAAAUAAUUCAAAGGAUCGGGAAUAUACAUACAAGCCAAGGUAA